UGUGUAGUAGAAGAUUUAAAAAGGGUCGUUAUUGCAACUGGUGGAACUGUACAAACAUCUGUCAAUAACAUCAUUGAUGGGGUACUUGGAACUUGUGAGGUUUUUUAGGAGAAGCAGGUUGGAAAUGAAAGGUUCAACAUAUUCAAUGGAUGUCCAUCUGGAUAAACAGCCACCAUAGUUCUUUGUGGAGGAGCUGAUUAGUUCAUAGAGGAAGCAGAGCGAACUUGCAUCAUGCAAUCAUGAUUGUUCAGAGGGUUUUGGAAAAUUCAACUACAGUUGCUAGUGGAGGUGCUAUAGAUAUGGAGAUAAGUCGAUACCUAAGGCAACAUGCACGAACAAUAGCAGGAAAGUCUCAGCUUUUCAUUAACUCAUAUA